AGGACGAACGCUGGCGGCGUGCUUAACACAUGCAAGUGGAGCGACGAACCAGGGCUUGCCCUGGGGCAGAGCCGCGAACGGGUGAGUAACACGUGGGUUACCUGCCUCGAUGACCGGGACAACCCGAGGAAACUCGGGCUAAUACCGGAUGUGCCCGCAAGGGGAAAGGAAGCUUCGGCCUCCGCAUCGAGAUGGGCCCGCGGCCCAUUAGCUUGUUGGUGAGGUAACGGCUCACCAAGGCUUCGAUGGGUAGCUGGUCUGAGAGGACGAUCAGCCACACUGGGACUGAGACACGGCCCAGACUCCUACGGGAGGCAGCAGUGGGGAAUCUUGCGCAAUGCGCGAAAGCGUGACGCAGCAACGCCGCGUGGGGGAAGAAGGCUUUCUGAGUUGUAAACCUCUUUCAGCAGGAACGAUAGUGACGGUACCUGCAGAAGAAGCACCGGCCAACUACGUGCCAGCAGCCGC
rnacentral:rRNA from 1 species